rnacentral:tRNA from 2 species
GGCCAGGUAGCUCAGUCGGUAGAGCAGUGGACUGAAAAUCCUCGUGUCGGUGGUUCGAUUCCGCCCCUGGCCA